UUGUCUCUUAAACUCGCGCUUAAGGAUGGGGCUGCGGCGGAUUAGGUUGUUGGCGGGGUAAUAGCCCACCAAGCCGAUGAUCCGUAAGGGCUCUUAGCGGAGAGACCCUGAGAGGGAAUCUGAGACACUAUUCCCAGCCCUACGGGGUGCAGCAGUUAGGUAUAAUCUACAAUGCGCGAAAGCGUGAUAGUUUGAGCCAGAGUGCUUCUCAUUCGAGAAGCUUUUGUCAAAUGUAAAAAGUUUGACGAAUAAGGACCGGGUAAGACGAGUGCCAGCCGCCGCGGUAAUACUCGCGGUCCAAGUCGCAGCCACAUUUAUUGGGUCUAAAACAUCCGUAGCUUGUUUUGUAAGUUUCUUGUGAAAUUCUAUAUCUCAAGGAUAGAGCGUGCGGGAAAUACUGCAAAGCUAGAGACUGGGAGACGUAAGAAGUACGUUUGAAGUAGCGGUAAAAUGCUUUAAUCU
rnacentral:rRNA from 1 species